GGGUUCCCUGGGAGCGUCCAGUCAGGCCAUGGGCCAGAACUGCCCUUCCCUUGUUGCUGCCUCCCAGAUCCACGUGGACUUGACUCAUUUUAGAAGCUGCUCACCCCAUUGAUGUUAUAACCAGGGACUGCAUACAUCACAAUUGGCAGGACCUGCUCAUGUUUGGCAAAAUGGAAGCGUUCUGGAAGUUCCUUCUUCUUAUAGACAUUGAGGGGAGGGUGUGCAUGCUUCAGCGCUUGGUCAACAGCUUCCUCCUGCCCGGGCUUGGGCAGGAGCACCCCAAAGCUGCCGUAGUCCACGAUAUCACACUUGACCAAGUCCCUGAAGCUGAUGUAGUUGCUCAGGAGGAUCUCGGUGACAUUGGGCUUCUUUUUCACGAUGGUCAUGCCGUGGUCUGAUGUGAUGAUGACGUUGAGGUGCAGGGUCAAGCCGUGCCUCUGGAUGGCUUCCAACAGGUACCCGAUGGGUCUGUCGAUGGGCCGAAUCCUCACCCUCCUGUCCUCUGUCUUGGGCCCGAAGCGGUGCCCCAUGUCAUCAGGCUCCCUGUAGUACAGAGUCACGAAGUCAAGGUCCGCCUUGGUGAACCAGUUCAUGAUGAUCUCGAUGUUCUCCUGCUCUUCUGCCUCAUUGUCCUUCGGGUGAGGGUAUGACUCCACCAGGGACCGCCAGCCGGCCUCCCCUUCGUACUUGGCACCUCCCUGGGAUAGUGGAAUGAUGCCCUUUCCCUCCCCUGCAAGGCCAAGAAGAGAAGACUGUCAGGGCCAUUUCUCCCAUCUUUCUCUUAUUGUGCAAAGCCCAGUGUGCCAGCCUCCCUGCCCCGGGCCAGAGGCAUCAGAAACACGUGGGCUGUGGAUGGAAUUGGGUGGGGCUGGGCUUCCUUCCUGGCAUCACCAGGAUCUCAUGGAAUCUAAAACACUCCUAGUUGUGAGACGUGUCUUUAUUUUACAUACUCCUGUGAAGAAAAAUGCUGCCAAUGACAGCAGGACGCGCCAGUGAUUGUAGGAUGCAUUUCGAUUCUGGACGGCAAAAUGAACAAAAAGUGCCUUGGGAUGGAGGAAGAAUGGUACUAAGUUGGCGAUGGAGGCAGAGGAGGACAAGACACAGAAAAAAGGAGGAGAUGGACCAAGGAGGCAGAGGGACCAAGGAAGCAGAGGGGCGUGAUGCAGCCACAAGCCCAGGAGUGCUGGCAGCCACCAGACAUGGAAGAAGCAAAGACAGAUUCUCCCCUAGAGCCUCGAGAGGGAAUAUGGACCCCUGACACCUUGAUUUUGGACUUCUGGCCUCCAGACUUUCUGUAGCUCUAAGCAUCCUAUGGCACUUUGUGACAACAGCUGCAGGGAACAAAUACACCUGUGCCCUCAGUCUCAGGUGGUUCCAGCUACUCCUCUCACUCCAGGCCUUGGAAUCCCGAGCAGUCAUGACCUUUUUGCUCCAUUGCCCUGGUGUUUCGGGCUGACCCUUCCUCUUGUGUGAUGCGUGGACCUGCAGCAUUGGCAUCCACUGGGGGCUCAUUGGAAAUGUAGAUUCUCAGGUCCCACCCCAGACCCACUGAAACACAGUCUGCAUUUUAACCAGAUCCCCAGGUGAUUCACGAACACAUUCAAAUUUGAGAAGCACCAGUGGAAGCUCUCAGGUGGCAACUAGAGCAUUUCUCCUCCCGCAAGUAUCCUAGUUUCUUCAUGUCAGUUCUGUUAAAUAUGGUGGGGAGAUUUUGUAAAAAGAAACCCAACCCUUAGCUUAGAACUGCACAUUGAUGUGUUAUGGAUGCAAUGGCGCGAUGUCUGAACUUUGCUGUAAAAGAUUCAAGGAGGGAGGGAAGGAGGAAAAGAAGGAAGGCAGGGAGGAAGGAGAAGGCUUUGGGUGGGGACAGUAGAAUAAGACUGGUAAAACGUGAACAGGUUCUUGCAGCUCCGUGUUGGGUAGAGGGGGCUUCACUGCGCAGUUUUCUCUGCUUUUUCUGCAUGUUGGAAAUUUCCAUAAUGAAAUGUUAGGAAACAUCCUGGUUUCCCAGCCUUCCUUAUGUUUAGUUUUUUUCCAUGGCUCUGUUUUUUUCUCUCCUCAUGGUAAUGGCUGGUGCUGGAGAGACAUCUUUUCUGUCUCGGCUUGUGCUUUUCUUUGCUCUGUUUGUUCAUGUUUGUGGCUUUCUUGGCUUCUGGGACUUUUUCAGCAGAGAGUUAUUGCUGGGGGAGUAGGAUGGGAGCUGAUUAAGGUUUAUGGCCUUGUCUAACUGGGUUUCCAACAACAUCUGCUAGCCUUGUAUUGUUACUGGCAGCAGGAAUUUAAUUUCCCUUCUCUUUCUCUACUCUCUCACCUCUUUUAGACUUUGUCCACUGGCCAGAGUAUCACGUUUGGAAGCUUUGGCUCUCUGAUUUACAUGUGAUUUGCAUAUUACAAUCUAGUCCAGGGAUUCCAAUUAGGGGGUGAGUUUACCUCCAAAGGAACAUGGGGAACUGUCUGGAGACAUUUUUGGUUGGCUCGACUAGGAGAGGGAUGCUGCUGGCAUCUAGUGAGUAGAAGCUGGGGAUACUGCUAAACACUUUAUAAUGCACAGGGCAGCCUCCCCGCCCCCACCCUGGUCCCCAAGACAAAGAGUGAUCUGGCCCCAAAAGUCAAUGGUGGGACAUAGAGACAGCCCGAUCUAGUCUUAAAGAUCAUCCAAGUGCACUUGGCCACACUUUCUUUGCUUCUGUCCCAUGAAGGAGAGGUGGAUUCAUGGCUUAUGACAACAUCCAAAGGAAAGUUUACUUCUUAUAGGUUGAUUUUGGCAGCGAAUGCAAGGGAUGGCUCAUUUGUGUAGGUUGUGUCCUGCACACCUCCAGGGGGCACCACCCACAAAAUAUUCAUGAAAACAACCCUCUCAGAAUUGCCUACACAGCUCUAAGUGGUUGUUCCGGUUUUGGGGUUGCCCUAGGGGUUCUGGAACUGGGAGAGACUUUGUAUCUGGCCCCCAGGGGCCAUGAGCAUGCCAUCGAGGGUCCUUUCCAGAAGGGAGGAAAAGUGGAACUGUGAGGACCCCACUUGCAUUAUUCUCGACCAUCAUCUCUUUAUGGAGUUUCUCCUUUUCACCCCUGGGCCAUGGCCUUUGGACUAGAUCUAAAAUUGUCAGAUUAUAAUAUCACGGCUUUUGUUUGAAAUAUGGUGGUGAUAGCUUCUUAUUUUCCAUCAGUUCCUUGGGGGAGGAAAUACAUGCUGUUGCCAUAAGACUUUCUAUCCACCCACUCUUUGCUUGGCGGGAUUUCCUUAGUUUCACCAGCAUAAUUUAUUCUUGCUGGCCCUCAAUCACUUUGCAAUAAAAACUGAGAUUGCAAAAAUGUUCAUUGUCAUUACCAGUGAUGGAGCAGUAAGUACAGGCUUCUGGAGAGAGAGGGAGGAAAUCAGGUGAUUUAAAAUAGCAGAAUGAGCUGCUCACCCCCAGAGAAUGGCUUUUCAUUUUGGCAGGAUCUGAGGGGAAUUACGACAGAGUUCAGGGGCACGGAGGGACAGGGCUGGGAGGUAUGGUCACCCAUUGCACUGGGAGCCUGUGCCCUGUGGGCAGCCCCAUGGAUGGAGCUUUGGUUUCUUGGGCCUCAGUACUGGGUCACUGGCUGCAAACCCAUCAUCACACUGUUGGGCCCAGGCCGGAUGGUAGACCACUGAGGUUUCUGCCAGGCCUCUUCCCUUACUCCUCCCUCUGAUGCCAGUCUUGACUCCCCCCUGUGGGCCCACCCCCUCCAUGGGUGACAUGGUUUGUGUGGGGCUUGCUAUUGCUCGCCUUGACCUGGAGGUGGGCGUAGGGGCCCAGCUUGGGUGGUCACCAUCAUUCCAUCCCCCUGGCCACGGAGAUUGGUUGUGAGAAGCAAACUGGCCCAGUGAAAGUCAAUCUCGGUCACUCUUAGGAAAGAGAAGUAGACAGAAGAAUUGGAAGAAGUAAAGAGAGAGCUCCAUCAUUCUGAUGACAUAGUUUGGGGAUCUGGAUGUAGCCAUGCCUAUAGCUUUGGGUUAAUUAUAUGUUACAGUUUCAGUCACGCUCCUCACAAAAGAUAGGGUGGCGUCCUGAGCCCCAGCGCCUCAGAAUGUGACCUUAUUUGCAAAUAGGGGCAUUGCAGAGGUGAGGUCAUCCUGGAGUAGUCCAUUAAGCCAAGAAACUGGUGUCCUUAUCAUAAGAUGGCCAUGUGAAGACAGAGACCCAGGAAGAACCUUGUGGGUGGAUGGAGGCUGAGAGAGAGGCAUCUCCAAGCCAAGGAAAGACAGAGAUCACCAGCAAACCAGGGGAGGCUUUCAGAGGGAGUAUGGCUAGAUCAACAUCUUGAUUUCAGGCUUCCGGUUUCUAGAACCAUGAGACAAUGAAUUUCUGUUGUUUUAAGCCAUAUAGUUUGUGGUACUUUGUUCUGGCAGCCCUAGGAAAUUAAUAGAAGUACUUUCUAGUUCUGACAUUUUUUUUUUGUCUUUUGUCUUUUUGUCUUUUUUGUUGUUGUUGUUGUUGUUGUUGUUGUUGCUAUUUCUUGGGCCGCUCCCGCGGCAUGUGGAGGUUCCCAGGCUAGGGGUUGAAUCGGAGCUGUAGCCACCGGCCUACGCCAGAGGCACAGCAACGCAGGAUGCGAGCCGCGUCUGCAACCUACACCACAGCUCACGGCAACGCCGGAUCGUUAACCCACUGAGCAAGGGCAGGGACCGAACCCGCAAACUCAUGGUUCCUAGUCGGAUUCGUUAACCACUGUGCCACGACGGGAACUCCAAUAGAAGUACUUUCAAAUGAAUAAUCCUCCUCUUUCUCCUCCUCCUUCUAAAUCAUCCUCAUCUUCAUCCCUUUGCCUGAGCAAAAGAAAGGGUCUCCUCCAGAUGUGGAGACUGAUGUGCAGAGUCCAGACUCCAUGGUCACUCAGUGCCCCUCUUGCAUUGGCUCCUGGGCCUUGGGUUAGACCAUAAGUCUGGGGCUUUCUGGAGCUCCAUGCUGGAGAACCACCCCUAUUACCUGUUGCCUUUACACAAAGGCUGAUGCUCACCUUCUGGUUAUCUGAGCUCCAUCCAGGACCUAUUCAUGGUAGGCAGAAUUAAGAUGGUCCCAAGGAGGGGGGAUGCGCUGGGGUUUGGGAUGGAAAUACUAUAAAAUUGGGUUGUGAUGAUUGUUAUACAACUAUAAAUGUAGUAAAAUCU
rnacentral:lncRNA from 1 species